rnacentral:lncRNA from 1 species
UUUGUCCACCAAGUGAUGAAAGCAUGCAAAUGCCUCCGAAUCAAAGGCCUGAGCCACGUAUGAAGUGUGAAUCUUCACACCAUGCAAGAGAAGCCACAUGUUAUUGCUCUGGUCAACAAUCCCAGCUGACCCAACCAGAUAGUGUAUCAGGCAUAUGAGUAAAGCAUUCUUAGAUUCUUCAGUCCAGCCCUUCACCAGCAGAACACCAUUCAGCAACCCUUGUCGGCAUCAUGUGGGACAGAAGAACCACCCAGCU